rnacentral:rRNA from 1 species
CGUGUGAGUAGUGUCUGGGAAACUGCCUGAUGGAGGGGGAUAACUACUGGAAACGGUAGCUAAUACCGCAUAACGUCGCAAGACCAAAGAGGGGGACCUUCGGGCCUCUUGCCAUCAGAUGUGCCCAGAUGGGAUUAGCUAGUAGGUGGGGUAACGGCUCACCUAGGCGACGAUCCCUAGCUGGUCUGAGAGGAUGACCAGCCACACUGGAACUGAGACACGGUCCAGACUCCUACGGGAGGCAGCAUG